ACACUAGUUGCAGUCUUCUCCUGAACACCGGUGGCGCUAAUGAGCAAAGGCUACUGAUGUUGCUCUUUCUACUGGCUAGAAAAAAAAGAAAAAGGGUAAAUGUGUACAGCAAAGGAAUGACGAGCCUGGGGCCUCUGGGUACAGCACCAUACAGCACCCAAGGGAUCUUCACCACCUUCAUGUAUAAGCUAUGACAUAGCUUGUAAUCCAAGAAGCUAAAACAGUACUCUCUUGUGUGUUUACAUUCAGCGUUAGCACAGUCAAAUUUGUGCACGCACACAUUCUUGGUCAAUUAAUAUGUACAUUCCAGAAAUUUGGCAAAAGAAAAUGCGAAUGAAGUAUGAAAAACAUGAUGGAAAUAUGGCAUUUAUGUCUGUUUUAUGUAAUAUUUGAGGAACGUUACAGGCAUCAGUGUGAACAUGA